GUUUUCAAUCCCCACUACUCUGGUGUUUUAUGAAGAGCUGAUCCUGAGCCACUGGAGGCUCCCCUGGAAGUUUCUUCUUCACUUCUUAUUCAGAUCUGUUUUGUGGAAAGGAAAGGAGUGGCUCUACUGAACAUCUGUGAUACCCAGCUGCACAUUGGCAUUUGGGUUAAAUGUGCACACUGACAGGCCUUCUCCUGUCCUGAAAGAACUCUUAACCAAUACAGCCACAGAUAGGAAUCCCAGCUCCACCAGGUACUUACCGUGUGACCAAGUCUUGACGUAACUUUACCUUGUGAAUUUCCUUGUCUGCUUCUUGUUGUUUCAAGAGGCAACUUAGCAGCAAUGUGUCAACAUCAGGAUAUUAACAUCUCUUGUAAUUUUCCUAUGUUGCCUAACUCCAACUAAUGCCAAUGAUAUUAUAAUUCCAGGAUCAGAACAGAUUAUCAUAUCAGACUCACCAGUUUAAUACACAGUUGUAUUGUUCAUUUAUUGAUGACUUACAGAAUCAUAUCCAACAUUUAUCUGAUAGAUAAAUGAAAAAAAAAAGUUUUAUAGCAACAUCCCAUGUGUACCUUAACUUCUCAGCAAGUAAUUUUUCUUCUUGAUGUUUAUUUCAUUUUACCUGCAAAUGUGUUAUUUUUCUUUAUUGUGUAUGUGUGUGCUUAAAAAACUUAAAUUACGUACAAUUGUCAAUUAUAUAACUGGCUAAAAAAGUGGAAAAUUCAAUGAAUCCUUUUUUUAAUGUCAGCAAAUGGUAUAAUUUGUGUUUUAUACUGAAUUGUUGAAAUUGAUCUCUUUGACAGUAAAGCAAAUGUUGCUAUUGUUUUGACAGUAUAAAGCAAAGCAAUAUGAAAGCUGAAUAUAUUUAAAGAAACUCUUAAAAAUUGAAUCCACACAGAAUGCAUAUUAAAAAUGAAUAUUUCAUAGGGAAUUUUUGUAUAAUUAUUUUCAUCCAAG
rnacentral:lncRNA from 10 species